AACUUUCAACAACGGAUCUCUUGGCUCACGCAUCGAUGAAGAACGCAGCGAAAUGCGAUAAGUAAUGUGAAUUGCAGAAUUCAGUGAAUCAUCGAAUCUUUGAACGCACCUUGCGCUCUUUGGUAUUCCGAAGAGCAUGCCUGUUUGAGUGUCA
rnacentral:rRNA from 1 species